CCAUGGGGCCCGAGAUGGCGUCUGUGGGGUGCGAAAUGGCAUCUGUGGGGCCCGAGAGGGCGUCUGCGGGGCACGAAAUGGACUCCGUGGGGCCCAAAAUGGCGUCUGCGGGGCGCGAAAUGGAGGCCGUGGGGCCCGAGAUGGCGUCUGUGGGGCGCAAAAUGGAGUCCGUGGGGCCCAAAAUGGCGUCUGCGGGGCGCAAAAUGGAGGCCGUGGGGCCCGAGAUGGCGUCCACAGCACUCGAGAUGGCGUCUACGGCGCGUGAGCUCGUGUCUACAGCGCCCAAAAUGGAGCCCCUGGCCCAUGAGAUGGUGUCCGGGGCACCUAAGAUGUCUGCAGUGCGCGAAAUGGAGUCCACGGCACCCGAAAUGGCGCCUACAGCAGCCAAAAUGGCGUCUGCGACGCCUGAGACGGCGUCUGCGGGGCCUGAAACAUCUGUGGUGCCUGGAACGGAGUCCACGGUGCCCAAAACGGCGUCUACGGUGCAUGAAAUGGUGCUUGCGGCACCCGAAACGGACGCCAUGGCGCCCAAAACGGCGUCUACGGCGCAUGAGAUGGCGUCUACGGCACUGGAAACGUCUACAACACCCAAAACGGCGUCUACGGUGCCCGAGAUGGCGUCUACAACACCCAAAACGGCGUCUAUGGCGCCCGAGAUGGCGUCUACAACACCCAAAACGGCGUCUACGGUGCAUGAGAUGGCGUCUACGGCACCGGAAUCGUCUACAACACCCAAAACGGCGUCUACGGCGCCCGAGAUGGCGUCUACGGCACCGGAAACGUCUACGGUGCCCCAAAUGGUGUCUACAGCGCCCAAAACGGAGCUCAUGGCACCCAAAAUGGCACCUACGGCGCGUGAGAUGGCGCCUACGGCCCCCGAAAUGGCGUCUACGGCGCCCAAAAUGGCGUCUACGGGGCCCAAAAUGGCGUCUACGGCCCAUAAGAUGGCGUCUACGGCCCCCAAAAUGGCGGCUACGGCGCGUGAGAUGGCGCCUACGGCCCCCGAAAUGGCGUCUACGGCCCCCGAAAUGGCGUCUACGGGGCCCAAAAUGGCGUCUACGGCCCAUNNNNNNNNNNN
rnacentral:lncRNA from 1 species